rnacentral:rRNA from 1 species
AACGAACGCUGGCGGCAUGCCUAACACAUGCAAGUCGAACGAGACCUUCGGGUCUAGUGGCGCACGGGUGCGUAACGCGUGGGAACCUGCCCUUAGGUUCGGAAUAACUCCCCGUAAGGGGUGCUAAUACCGGAUAAUGUCUUCGGACCAAAGAUUUAUCGCCUUUGGAUGGGCCCGCGUUGUAUUAGCUAGUUGGUAGGGUAAAAGCCUACCAAGGCGACGAUCCAUAGCUGGUCUGAGAGGAUGAUCAGCCACACUGGGACUGAGACACGGCCCAGACUCCCACGGGAGGCAGCAGUGGGGAAUAUUGGACAAUGGGCGAAAGCCUGAUCCAGCAAUGCCGCGUGAGUGAUGAAGGCCUUAGGGUUGUAAAGCUCUUUUACCCGGGAUGAUAAUGACAGUACCGGGAGAAUAAGCUCCGGCUAACUCCGUG